AGGAAGCGAAAAGUCGACGCGCCGCAAGGCGUCCGGCCCUCCGCGAGCACCCUCGGGGGUUCGGGUUCCGGACCCGGUCCGAUCCCGUUCCCACCGUGGGGCUGUCCGCGAUCAUGGAGGUGUCCUCGGACGGCGUCGAAUACUUUUCCAGUCCGCGACGCUACGGCUUGGAUGGUCCACCCGACCCGUCUUGAAACACGGACCAAGGAGUCUAACAUGCGCGCAAGUCGUUGGGUCGGACACGCUCCGCUAAACCCAUAGGCGCAAUGAAAGUGAAGGCCGCCUUCUGGCGGCCGAGGGAGGACGGGGUCGUUCACGUGCUCCGGCGCGCGUCGGUCCCCGCACCCCCGGGGCGUCUGAUCCCUCAUCGCGAGGGGAGGCGCACCCAGAGCGCACACGUUGGGACCCGAAAGAUGGUGAACUAUGCCUGGCCAGGACGAAGUCAGGGGAAACCCUGAUGGAGGUCCGUAGCGAUUCUGACGUGCAAAUCGAUCGUCGGAGCUGGGUAUAGGGGCGAAAGACUAAUCGAACCAUCUAGUAGCUGGUUCCCUCCGAAGUUUCCCUCAGGAUAGCUUGCGCUCGGAGGAGAGUCUCAUCCGGUAAAGCGAAUGAUUAGAGGCCUUGGGGCCGAAACGGCUUCAACCUAUUCUCAAACUUUAAAUGGGUGAGAACUCCGGCUUGCUCGAUUUAUCGAAGCCGGAGACGGGGUCCCCUCGGGGGCCCCCGGGAUCAGAGUGCAUAGUGGGCCACUUUUGGUAAGCAGAACUGGCGCUGUGGGAUGAACCAAACGACGGGUUAAGGCGCCCGAAUCGACGCUCAUGGGAAACCAUGAAAGGUGUUGGUUGCUUAUGACAGCAGGACGGUGGCCAUGGAAGUCGGAAUCCGCUAAGGAGUGUGUAAUAACUCACCUGCCGAAGCAACUAGCCCUGAAAAUGGAUGGCGCUGAAGCGUCGUGCCUAUACCCGGCCGUCGCCGCGGGGCGGACCCGGCUCCGAGUCGGGUGCCGCUUGAUGCGGCGACGAGUAGGAGGGUCGCGGCGGCGUGCGCAGAAGGGUCUGGGCUCGAGCCUGCCUGGAGCCGCCGCCGGUGCAGAUCUUGGUGGUAGUAGCAAAUACUCCAGCGAGGCCCUGGAGGACUGAUGUGGAGAAGGGUUUCGUGUGAACAGCCGUUGCACACGAGUCAGUCGAUCCUAAGCCCUAGGAGAAAUCCGACGCCAACGGCGACGGGAAAAAUUUUCAAAACGAAACGACCCGUUGAUCGGGCGAAAGGGAAUCCGGUUCCUAUUCCGGAACCCGGCAGCGGAACCGCUGUUUGUCGGGCCCUCACAAGGGGUUCGUCAGGGUAACCUAAAAGGGCCCGGAGACGCCGUCGGGAGCCCCGGAAAGAGUUUUCUUUUCUGCAUGAGCGUUCGAGUUCCCUG
rnacentral:rRNA from 2 species